GUGCAUUAUCGUGCUGCAACAUGAGGUGAUGGAUGUGGAUGAAUGGCACAACAAUGGGCCUUAGGAUCUCAUCACAGUAUCUCUGUGCAUUCAAAAUGCCAUCAAUAAAAUGCACCUGUGUUCGUUGUCCAUAACUUAUUGUAAAGCGCUACUGAAUAAGCUGGUGCUAUAUAAAUAAUAACCAAUAAUAUAAACAUAAGCCUGCCCAUACCAUAACUCCAGCAUGGGCCACUCGAUCCACAAUGUUGACAUCAGCAAACUGCUCACCCACACUACGCCAUACAUGCUGUCUGCCAUCUGCCCUGUACAGUGAAAACCAGAAUUCACCCAUGAAGAGAACACCUCUCCCAAGGUGCCAGAUGCCAUCGAAUGUGAACAUUUGCCUACUAAAUUCGGUUACGACGACAAACUGCAGUCAAGGCGAGACCCCAAUGAGGACGACGAGCAUGCAGAUGAACUUCCCUAAGAUGGUUUCUGAAAGUUUGUGCAGAAAUUCUUUGGUUAUGCAAACCGGUUGUUGCAGCAGCUGUCCGAGUGGCUGGUCUCAUACGAUCUUGGAGGUGAAGAUGCUGGAUGUGGAGGUCUUGGGCUGGUGUGGUUACACGUGGUCUUUGGUUGUGAGGCCGGUUGGAUGUACUGCCAAAUUCUCUGAAACGCCUUUGGAGACAACUUAUGGUAGAGAAAUUAACAUUCAAUUCAUGGGCAACAGCUCUGGGGAAGAUUCCUGCAGUCAGCAUGCCAAUUGCACGCUUCCUCAAAACUUGCGAUAUUUGUGGCAUUGUGCUGUGUGAUAAAACUGCACAUUUUACAGUGGCCUUCCUAAGUCACACCUGUGCAAUAGUCAAGCUGUCUAAUCAGCAUCUUGAUAUGCCACACCCAGGGCCACCAUCAAGGGG